rnacentral:lncRNA from 1 species
GGAACUCAACUUCUAUCACUUCCGUUAUUUAAUUUUGUGUAAGUCAAAAAUAUAAUGUAACUCAAGUUAUAUUAGAUCUUCACUUCACCUACUCUCAACUCUCUCUUCUAAAGUGCCGAACUCGACUUCCGCCAUAUUCAACCUCUUCUAAAAAAUUUAUUAAAUAGUAAACAUAAACUCUACUUCCUUUAUAAUUGAUUAGAAUUACCUUAUUUAUAAUAAAUUAGGAUUAUCUUUAAAUAAUAAUAAAAAAUUUAAUUAUAUAAUAGGUUAAAGUUUAUAGCAGUAAAUUUACUGCUAUAUUUAGGAGAUAACAGGAUUCACUUACUUACAUCAAAAUAAACAACGGAACUUAAAAAACUAAUUUUAUCAGCACCAAGUUAUAUCAAAAUAAAUAGAAGAAGUAAUUGAAUUUAACUUUCAGACUGUACGAGUUAUGUCAAAAUAAACAGCAAAAAAAUAAUCACACUUCAGAAAAACUCAAACACCACUGCACUUGACUUACGUUGAAUCUACAGAUUCAUCAAUCCAGACGCCCCCUAAGUGCUAGAUGAUAUUUA